rnacentral:rRNA from 1 species
GAAAGAUGAAAAGAACUUUGAAAAGAGAGUUAAACAGUACGUGAAAUUGUUGAAAGGGAAACGAUUAAAGUCAGUCGUACCUACGAGUAAUCAACCUACUCGAGUGCGAUUUUGUGGGUAUGUUAGAGUUUAAACCUUCAUGCUUACAAAUUGGUACUCUUUGGGCGUACUUUCUCGUAUGGUAGGUUAACAUCAAUUUCGAUCGUUAUAAAAUGACUGGAGGAAUGUAGCUUCGACUUCGGUUGAAGUGUUAUA